rnacentral:rRNA from 1 species
UACGUAGGUGGCAAGCGUUGUCCGGAUUUACUGGGCGUAAAGAGCGCGCAGGCGGUCGUUCAAGUCGCGUGUGAAAGCCCCCGGCUCAACUGGGGAGGGUCACGCGAUACCUGAUCGACUCGAAGGCAGGAGAGGGUAGUGGAAUUCCCGGUGUAGUGGUGAAAUGCGUAGAUAUCGGGAGGAACACCAGUGGCGAAGGCAGCUCGCUGGGCGUGACUGACGCU